CUGAUCAUCUAACUUAUCUGCAAUAAUUGUUAAAGGCCUGAAGCAAACGUCUGAUUCUGAUUCAAGCAGAUUUAGGGGUCAUAAUCAAGAAAGGUUCAAUGAUGCUGACCAGUUGAGACUUCAUCAGUUGAUUAUAUAUAUGAACUUUGCAACUUCACAUUGCACAAGAAAUGGAUUUUUUUUUUUUUUCAGUUUAGUGUCACAUCAAGAUUGUAACAUUCCAUAAUCCCUAGUCUUAGACAGUACUAAUAUCGGCUUCAGAAUAGUGUUAUUCAAAGAAAAUUUGAAGAUUAAAUAUGACUUGGAAAUAAAUUCAAAUAAGCAGAUUAAAAACUAAAGUGAAAAAUGGAGUUAUGGAUUUAUUAGGCAUUAUGAAAAAGAUGAAUAGUAAACUGGUAAGAGAAAAAUUUAGUAAAUUAAGUUUAAAAGUCAAACAUUGACUAAAGAUGUGAUUAAUUAACUUAACGUAGUUGCAUUAAUUUAAUUAAUCAUGAAUAGGAAAAUUAAACAUAAUUAGUUAGGUGGUCAAACUUAAUGAUUAGGAAUUUUUAAAUAUUUACUAGUUUGCCAUUAUGAAAUUAAAAUAAUAUAAAUAUCUAUUAGUAGAGACAAAUUAUCAUCAUCUUUUUGCUUUUCUUCAAUGUUGGCCGAACCCUCAUCUUCUUCCUUUCCACUAUUUUUCUUUCUUCCAAGCUUGAAUUCUUACCAAUUUCUUAACCUCCAUCACUUCAAAUAGCAUAAUUAAGCUCCAAUUUAGGGAAAACACAUUUUUUAAGCAACAAAUUGUAAAGAUUUAGGGAGGUUACCAAGUAAUAUAAUUGAGGAAAAGCUCAAGGUAAGGGAAAUUAAGCUUAGCAAGCAUGAAUUAAUAUUAUCAUAUGAUAAUCAUGGCAUAGAUAUGAAGUGUGAUGAGAACUUUUUGAAUUUCUUCAAGGAGGAAGUUCGGUCCAAGUUAACAAGGAACAAGGGAAGGACAACAAAGUUGAUUAGAAGUGAAUUUGAAGAGCUAAGCAACUAUUAGAAGCCUAAUUUUUGGUAUGUGCACUCUUAAUACCACCUUAAAUUGUUACAUAGGGUUUUCAUGCCAUUUGGGAGUUUUGGCUAAAUUGAAUGUAAAUGUCUAAUUUAUAGAUAGAAAAAUGAUGCUUAGUGUGUGUAAAUGAUGUAGUGCCUAUUGGGAUUCAUGUUGCUUUGUAUAUGUUGAAGUAUGCAUUGUGAAUAAACUUGUUAAGCAAUCUAGCCAAAUUUGACCAGACUGGACUUUAUAAUUUAUAACUUGAGUUCUAUAAUUCCAAAUGACCUGAAAUGUAUAGCAAAUUAAAAUUAAGACAUAAGGCUAAAACUUUCAUGAGGAAGCCUAGUAAAAAAUUGUGUGUAAGUAAUCUUAAAAGUUUUUAGAAGACAGGGCGCAAAAUCUGGAACAUGGGAGAAGUGCACUCUGAACAGUCUAGAGUAAAAUGGGUAUAACUUAUGUAACGCCCUCACUUUACGUAGUCUGUAUAUUCUGCUACUCCGAUGAUCUAAUGUCUGUCCGGACAAGUCAGGAUGUCUGAAACUAUACUUCGAUGAUAGUGAACAGACAUAAAAUGAUGAAAUAAAUAAAAAAAAAUAUAAGAAAAAUUAAGAAAAAAUAAAAAAGAGAAAAUGAAACUAGGUUAAACGAGCCGGCACCAUAGCGAUGGGUGACUGCACUGAAAAGUUACGGCAAAGGCAAUUGCCGACCCCAGGACCGCGGAAAACCCUCAGAAUUAAAUUUCGGGACAUAAUUAAAGGUUUAUUGAGGUGUAAUUAACAUUAGAAAAGUCAAAGAAAAUUAAUGAAUUAGUACAAAGAAAAAUGAAAAAUCAAGAAAACGAUAAAAAUUGGUGUUACUAAAAAAUUAGGAAUACAACCCGAAGAGAGACAUUUUGGUCAUUUGACACCUAGAGUUGUCGUUUAACCUCAAUGUCCAUUAAAGAUAAGUGAUAUUGCACUUUGAAAAUGCCAUGAAAAAAAAAAUGAGGUACAUAAUGUAAAUAAAGAAAGAAUGGUGGUAAAUUUGCAAUUUAGGAAACUUUGGAUAAUUAAUUCCUUAAUCCAAGUUAGUGCUAGUUUUCCUUACCUCACUUCAUUAAAGUUUGUUUUAAGGUUGAGAUGAGUUGAAUGGUGAAGAAAUUUGAAGGUUUUGAUGAGCUAUUGAUGCGUACAAUUUUUGGCAGCCAUGAAAGUUGAAAGUAAUUGAGUUAUUCUUACAUGUAUUUGAUGGGAAUUAAGGUUGAUUAAAGUAAUUUUAUGUGCUAUUAAGUCAAUUUGGUGAAUAUGUGAUGAUUGGGUAUUUAAUUUAGGGUUUGACUAAAUUUUGGAGACCUAAGAGUAAAUGGUAAUUUCUAACAGCUUUGAUUGGUUUAGUAGAUGGUUAACUACAUGAAUUUGAUUAAUGAAUCUCGGUAUUGAUGAAUGGUGAAAGUAUAAGACAUGUUACUAAUUGAGAUUACAUGUAUUGCUUGGUUGUUUUUAUGUCUACAUUGUAGACUUUGACUAAUUAAUUUAGGAUUGUGUAUUAAACAUUGUGGACCAGUAUAAACUAUUGGAAAAUUGACAAAAAUGAGAUGUAAUGAAUGAUGUUAGUAUGUUACCAAUCCAGAAUUUAGGUAUAGGGAGCUAAGGUAUAGAAAUUUGAAUGUGUAGUUGAUUGGUAUUUGAGAAUGGUAUAAGGGCAAUAUGCAUUUAAGCCUAUAACCCUAAUUGUGUAGCCCCAAUUGGUAUGAGGCCAAUUGAAAGUGUUUUGGGACAUCCAAACCUUC
rnacentral:misc_RNA from 1 species